AUGUAUGGGUGGGUAUGGGCGCUGAUAACAGCUUUGUUUGAAUUCAGAUAUAUAAAUGGGAAGCGAUGGCGAUUUGGAUUUAGUUUUGCUUACAAUAUUGUGCAAACAUUGAAACGUUAAAAUGAAGUUUAUUUGUGUCCUAAUUGCCAUCGCAUUUAUUGCUGUUGCUGAUGCAGCCGCUCCCAAAAAUCAGAAUCUUUGUGACCGAAUUCAGUGCUACGAGGAGGACAACGUGAAGGUGUGUGGAACAAAUGGCAGUAUCUAUAAGGUGUUCGACAAUACUUGUGAAAUGAGAAAAUACAACUGCAACAGAGGCCAAAGAUUUGCUCGAGUUGAUACUGACGUUUGCAGGAUGGUUGCUGAACUUGGAAUGGGAUUCCUUUUUCACAUGGAAUAAAGUUUUGAAACGAAAAUAAAUUCAAUUUGUGUGAAA